rnacentral:miRNA from 1 species
UGAUCAGGCAAAAUUGCAGACU